rnacentral:rRNA from 1 species
AGGACGAACGCUGGCGGCGUGCUUAACACAUGCAAGUCGAGCGACAGCAUUCCUUCGGGGGUGUAUGGAGCGGCGAACGGGUGAGUAACACGUGGGCAACCUGCCCUCAGCUCUGGGAUAACUCCGGGAAAUCGGGGCUAAUACCGGAUAUGAUCACUUCGGGCAUCCGAUGGUGGUGGAAAGUUUUUCGGCUGAGGAUGGGCCCGCGGCCUAUCAGCUUGUUGGUGGGUAAUGGCCUACCAAGGCGACGACGGGUA